rnacentral:rRNA from 1 species
AUUGAACGCUGGCGGCAUGCCUUACACAUGCAAGUCGAACGGUAACAGGUCUUCGGAUGCUGACGAGUGGCGAACGGGUGAGUAAUACAUCGGAACGUGCCUAGUAGUGGGGGAUAACUACUCGAAAGAGUGGCUAAUACCGCAUGAGAUCUACGGAUGAAAGCAGGGGAUCGCAAGACCUUGUGCUACUAGAGCGGCCGAUGGCAGAUUAGGUAGUUGGUGGGAUAAAAGCUUACCAAGCCGACGAUCUGUAGCUGGUCUGAGAGGACGAUCAGCCAGACUGGGACUGAGACACGGCCCAGACGCCGUCGGGAGGCAGCAGUGGGGGAUGGUGGACAAUGGGCGAAAGCCUGAGCCAGCAAUGCCGCGUGUAGGAUGAAGGCCUUCGGGGUGUUGACGGCUGUUGUACGGAACGAAAAGCCCUGGGUUAAUACCCUGGGGUCAUGACGGUACCGUAAGAAUAAGCACCGGCUAACUACGUGCCAGCCGGCGCCGUAA